rnacentral:rRNA from 1 species
CAGCCGCCGCGGGAAUACGUAGGGUGCGAGCGUUAAUCGGAAUUACUGGGCGUAAAGCGUGCGCAGGCGGUUGUGUAAGACAGGUGUGAAAUCCCCGGGCUUAACCUGGGAACUGCGCUUGUGACUGCACAGCUAGAGUAUGGCAGAGGGGGGUGGAAUUCCACGUGUAGCAGUGAAAUGCGUAGAGAUGUGGAGGAACACCGAUGGCGAAGGCAGCCCCCUGGGCCAAUACUGACGCUCAUGCACGAAAGCGUGGGGAGCAAACAGGAUUAGAGACCCGCGUAGUCCCUGUCUCUUAUAC